UUAAGCGGAAGGACUUAAAAUUGUAAUGUUGUGUAUUGAUUAAUGCAGAUUAUCAGCCGAAUUAUCCGUUAAUUUUUAUUUAUAAUGAAUAUUAAUUAAGGUAGCAUUAAAAUACUUAAAUUUUUGUACAGCUUACGUCGCGGGCCAGGUGCUAAUGCUCAAGACCAGUCUGGUUAUACGUCAUUACAUCACGCAGCGCUCAACGGGCAUAAAGAAAUUGUGUCAUUAUUAUUGCAAUAUGAGGCAUCUACCAACGUCGUUGAUCACAAAGGUUCUACGCCCCUACACUUAGCUGCUUGGACAGGAAAUACUGAAAUUGUGAAGAUCUUACUGGAGCAGGGACCAUCUGUGCCCAAUGUUAAUUUAGCUUUAAUUAAUGAGAAUCGUUUUGUAUUCAAAGAAGUG